rnacentral:rRNA from 1 species
UACGGAGGAUCCAAGCGUUAUCCGGAAUCAUUGGGUUUAAAGGGUCCGUAGGCGGUUUUAUAAGUCAGUGGUGAAAUCCGGCAGCUUAACUGUCGAACUGCCAUUGAUACUGUAGAACUUGAAUUAUUGUGAAGUAACUAGAAUAUGUAGUGUAGCGGUGAAAUGCUUAGAUAUUACAUGGAAUACCCAUUGCGAAGGCAGGUUACUAACAAUAUAAUUGACGCUGAUGGACGAAAGCGUGGGGAGCGGACAGG